AGAUUAAGUUAUUAAGGGCGCACGGUGGAUGCCUUGGCACUAGAAGCCGAUGAAGGACGUUACUAACGACGAUAUGCUUUGGGUAGCUGUAAGUAAGCGUUGAUCCAGAGAUUUCCGAAUGGGGGAACCCAGCAUGAGUUAUGUCAUGUUAUCGACAUGUGAAUUUAUAGCAUGUCAGAAGGCAGACCCGGAGAACUGAAACAUCUUAGUACCCGGAGGAAGAGAAAGAAAAAUCGAUUCCCUGAGUAGCGGCGAGCGAAACGGGAAGAGCCCAAACCAACAAGCUUGCUUGUUGGGGUUGUAGGACACUCUAUACGGAGUUACAAAAGAACAUGUUAGACGAAUCAUCUGGAAAGAUGAAUCAAAGAAGGUAAUAAUCCUGUAGUCGAAAACAUAUUCUCUCUUGAGUGGAUCCUGAGUACGACGGAGCACGUGAAAUUCCGUCGGAAUCUGGGAGGACCAUCUCCUAAGGCUAAAUACUCUCUAGUGACCGAUAGUGAACCAGUACCGUGAGGGAAAGGUGAAAAGUACCCCGGAAGGGGAGUGAAAGAGAACUUGAAACCGUGUGCUUACAAGUAGUCAGAGCCCGUUAAUGGGUGAUGGCGUGCCUUUUGUAGAAUGAACCGGCGAGUUACGAUCUGAUGCAAGGUUAAGCAGCAAAUGUGGAGCCGCAGCGAAAGCGAGUCUGAAUAGGGCGUUGAGUAUUUGGUCGUAGACCCGAAACCAGGUGAUCUACCCUUGGUCAGGUUGAAGUUCAGGUAACACUGAAUGGAGGACCGAACCGACUUACGUUGAAAAGUGAGCGGAUGAACUGAGGGUAGCGGAGAAAUUCCAAUCGAACUUGGAGAUAGCUGGUUCUCUCCGAAAUAGCUUUAGGG
rnacentral:rRNA from 1 species